GGGCGGUUGGUUUAGGGGUAUAACGUUUGCUUCGCAUUUCCUGCGAUCCUGCGAAAGGUCACGGGUUCGAUUCCCGUACUGUCCA
rfam:Thielaviopsis punctulata NODE_1319, whole genome shotgun sequence.